rnacentral:sRNA from 1 species
UUUAGAACGCAACGGGGCAAUAGGUGG